ensembl:lincRNA
UUCUGAUACAGUGCUUUUGUGUUCCAGAGAGGAGACUGGACGCUGCGAGGCCCAGGCCAGUGUUCUCAGUGGAAGCGAGCAGGGAGGAUCUGGCAGCAGAAGCUUAGCAACGAGGAAGACCCUCUUUCCAGAUGUCCUAGCUCCCCUUCCUCAGUACUUUUUAAAAUAGAAGUUCCAGUAGAAGGUACACAGUGCACGGAGCAGCACCAUGAGAAUGAAGCGCCCUGCUCUUCACUUAUCCAUGGUUUCAGUCAUCCGUGGUCAACUGUGGUUCUGAGACAGAUGGUCCUCCUUCCAACAGAUCCACAGAAGCUCAGCAGUAGCCUAACACUACGUCACCAGGCAUGUCAGUCAUCUCACAUCAUCACAAGGAGGCAAUAAGCCAGAAAUAUAGGAAACCACCACCAGGUUCCAGUGGGAGUUGGAUGUCAAACCCACAAAGCUGAACUUCAAAGUGUUUUAACAGAUUAAAAAAACAGAAGACCACAGAAACCACAUGGACCACAGAAGGAAAAGAAGCUUGCUUACAAGGUCAGUUCAAAGUAUAGUCCAGUGAAUGACCUGUAUCUGGAUUAGAACUAACUG